UUGCAUGUUGAUUCAAUGGUGCAAGGACCCC
rnacentral:piRNA from 1 species